rnacentral:rRNA from 1 species
UAAGGAAUAUUGGUCAAUGGACGCAAGUCUGAACCAGCCAUGCCGCGUGAAGGAUGAAGGUCCUCUGGAUUGUCAACUUCUUUUAUCUGGGACGAAAACGGGAUUUUUAUCUCAAUUGACGGUACCAGAGGAAUAAGCACCGGCUAACUCCGUGCCAGCAGCCGCGGUAAUACGGAGGGUGCGAGCGUUAUCCGGAUUUACUGGGUUUAAAGGGUGCGUAGGUGGGCUUAUAAGUCAGUGGUGAAAUCUCCGAGCUUAACUUGGAAACUGCCGUUGAUACUAUAGGUCUUGAAUUAUCUGGAGGUAAGCGGAAUAUGUCAUGUAGCGGUGAAAUGCUUAGAUAUGACAUAGAACACCAAUUGCGAAGGCAGCUUACUACAUAUAAAUUGACGCUGAGGCACGAAAGCGUGGGGAUCAAACA